UACGGAGGAUCCAAGCGUUAUCCGGAUUUAUUGGGUUUAAAGGGUGCGUAGGCGGCUUAUUAAGUCAGGGGUGAAAGACGGUAGCUUAACUAUCGCAGUGCCUUUGAUACUGAUGAGCUUGAAUGUACUUGAGGUAGGCGGAAUGUGACAAGUAGCGGUGAAUGCAUAGAUAUGUCACAGAACACCAAUUGCGAAGGCAGCUUACUAAAGUAUGAUUGACGCUGAGGCACGAAAGCGUGGGGAUCAAACAGG
rnacentral:rRNA from 1 species